AUUGAACGCUGGCGGCAGGCCUAACACAUGCAAGUCGAGCGGAUGAAGGGAGCUUGCUCCUGGAUUCAGCGGCGGACGGGUGAGUAAUGCCUAGGAAUCUGCCUGGUAGUGGGGGAUAACGUCCGGAAACGGGCGCUAAUACCGCAUACGUCCUGAGGGAGAAAGUGGGGGAUCUUCGGACCUCACGCUAUCAGAUGAGCCUAGGUCGGAUUAGAUAGUUGGUGGGGUAAAGGCCUACCAAGGCGACGAUCCGUAACUGGUCUGAGAGGAUGAUCAGUCACACUGGAACUGAGACACGGUCCAGACUCCUACGGGAGGCAGCAGUGGGGAAUAUUGGACAAUGGGCGAAAGCCUGAUCCAGCCAUGCCGCGUGUGUGAAGAAGGUCUUCGGAUUGUAAAGCACUUUAAGUUGGGAGGAAGGGCAGUAAGUUAAUACCUUGCUGUUUUGACGUUACCAACAGAAUAAGCACCGGCUAACUUCGUG
rnacentral:rRNA from 1 species